rnacentral:lncRNA from 1 species
UGAGUUUAAUCUUAGACCACACACAAUUGGGUAAUUGAUUUCCAUUAUGAAGCAUAACCCCUCAGUACUUCAGUAUCAACAUCUCUGAAGUGGAUAUUAUGAAGCUGGUAAGAGAUUUCUUCUACCAGCAAAAGAUGCCUUCACCAAGUAAGCAUUGGAAAUGAGGGAAGUAAGACGAGAGCUUGACUCUACAGUUUAAAUUAACACAUAAUGAACAAAAUGAGUAGAGACCCAUUUUUAAUACAAAUAACUGUGUCGGUAUACAUUGUAGUGCAUAUAUGUAAUAUAUGUACUUUAUAGAGUGAUAUGUAUGCAAUCAGACAAUGGUACAAAUGUUGAGUCACUGUUACUGGUAUCGCUCACCAAAUGAAGCAUGGAUGAGUUAUCUGUACACAUGUUGGCAUCACUCAUUUAAAGACUCUCAAUGAGAGAGGUUUCCUGUCAGAUUAAAUGCACACAUAUUAGCUUCCUGGUAGGCAAAUCUUUAGUGUGGAGAGGGACUUGUUAGGCUAGCAGAGCCUGGUGGAUUUUUAGCUCUUGUGUCACAUAAUUAAAUCAAUUUACACCAUUUUCAUGCUCAUUAAGAAAACUUCCAAUUGUAAUUUGGCUUCCUGUGAAACCUGUUUUUGUGAGAGUGAUGCUGAAGCUGAUCAGAUUCUAAGAAAUAUAUUUAUCAUUAUUAGAAAAUAAAUAGACAUUGCAGCCUAUGUAUCCUUUUCUUAUAAGCUUUUUUAUUAUGAAUUAUAAUUCUUAAAUUUGAUCACUGUGGGGAGAGAGAUAAUAUCAAAUUUCUGUGCCUUAAAGAUUGAGGGUUAAAAUUGCGAUUGGCCAAUUCACACAGAAUAAAGCCCCCUAAUGAGGGCCUCUCUGGGCAACCUGCUGGUUUCCCUGAGGUAAUGUUUCUCUCAUAAUUAUGUUGCAGAAUGUUCCAUUUGGAAUUGUAUUCUCUAAGGCAUAGUAACAUAUUCCUUGUCCUGUUUUGCAAAUAUCAGUUGAAUGGAUUGCCAUCUCUCUAAUAAACUUGUCUAAUAAAGCAUACAGGCUGAGUUCAAAUCUUGUUCUACCUCUUACUAUCUGGAAGACUUAAGGCAAAGUAUUUGACUGUUCUUUGCCUCAGUUUCUUUACAAGUAUAAUAAAUAAUAAUGGUACAUUCCUAUUAGAGUUUUAUGAGAAUUAAUUGGAUGAAUGUUUGUAAGAUGAAAGAACAAUGCCUGCCAUUUAAUAAACUUUUACACAAACUUUUGUUAGUGAAAUAAACUACCCUUUGACUAGUUUCUAUACAUAAAAUAGAUUCCCAAAUUGUAUUCAUUCUGUCAUUAUAAUGUCUCUUAAAUUAGUGCCUGUUUCUUGAAAUUUAUCUCUACUGCUGAUUCAAUUUUUAAACUCGCAUGUAAACUAUUUUAAUAUGUUCCACAGUUGUCAGCCUGCAUAAAAUAUUUUCCCAUUCUGAUUUCAUACUGCCUCAGAGCUAUCUUAAGACAUGCAUCUGAUCACUACACUUCCUCUCCUCAUAUUUAACACUCACUGAGUAUUGCUUAUACUCAGUGUUAGAAUGAAUUCUAAACUCUGCAGUAAGACAUCCCAGGCCAUCCACAAUCUGUUCCUAAUCUCACUCGUCAGCCUCAUUUCACAUUAUGCCCUUCAAAAUCAUUGCAAUCUAAUUACACUCUUCUGCUGGUCCCCAAACGCAUCAACCAAGUUUUCAAGUGGGAAUCAUAGCCACGUUGUUGUUAAAAGCCUGAGAGCUGAAGUCAAGUUUCCUCAGAUUCCAU